AAAUUUCUUUACCCACCUGGACCUCAAUUCGCUUACUUGUAGAAUGUGGGUGUAGGAUUUGAGGAUAUCUGAAAUUACUUCCACCAUCUGCCAUGUGGAUCAGGACAUCACUGCUGUCUCAAAACCUUACAAUAUUCAUCUAGAAGAAGGCUGUGUCAUCUAGUUUCUUCAGUGACAUGUGCGACCUUGACUUUUAAUUAUUCAAGAGUGGCAAGUAUGGAACCUAAAGUGGAUUGUUGACACAAGAUGCCUGGAAAUAAGGAGAAUUAUGAAAGACAUACUGUUGUUUUAAAUUUCAAACCACAGUUACCUGUGUAACUAAAGAACCUGUAAGUCCCUCAAUAGGAAAAAGUGGAAACUGACCCAGAGGAUGCCAGACAGAAGGAUAUAUCCAAUUGCAGUUCUUACCAGCAUACAGGAGGAGGUUCCAUAUGAAUAUAACUUCUUGCCUAAGUUGGUUUAGGUAAGAAGACUCUUCAUGUGCCUGUUUCCUUCAAAUUUUAAGGAGAGCUCUUGCAUGGUGGUAGAACCGAGGACAGCCUAGACCUUCUGAUUGUCAACUCCUUGUUCCAUUGUGUCCAAACCUACAUGUCUGAACUCCUCUCAUCAAAGACUUCUCAAAGUUAUUAAUAACUGGGGAUCACGUAUUCAGUAAUUACACACAUCAGGCUCCAUGCUUUCUGUGCAGUAUGUAAAUUGAUUCAUUGUCAUACUAAUUAUAAAUGGCUAGUAUUAUUGCUGCUUUACAAAUGAGGCAUAUGACACACAGGGAGCUAAAUAAUUUGCCUAAGGUCACCCCACUUGUAAAUGAUGAAGCCAGGACUCAAGGCCAGGUCUGGCCACCCCUGAAUUUAAUAGCUUUAUCCUCUAUAUCUCUGUUUUCUCCCAGACCAAGGUGUCUGUACCUCUCUGCCAACAGAGAAAAGGGUUCAUUCAUUCAUCAAAUGUUUGUUGAGCAUCUAUUGUGACUCAGGCAAUAUCCUAGAUCAAGGAUUGUCAAACUUUUUCUAUAAAGGACAAGAGAGCAAACAUUUUAGGUCUCCUGGGUCAUACGGUCAGUCACUGUGAUUCAACUCUGCUGUUGUAGUACAAGAUUGUGAAAGCAGCCAUAGAUGAUAUGUCAAUGAAUGAGCAUGGUUGUGUUCCAAUAAAAUGUCACUUGCGAAAGCAGGCUGUGGGCUGGGUUUGGGCCAAGAGUUCUAUCCCUGCUCUAGGCACUGGAGUUACAAUAGCAAAAAAUUAAAAUAAAGUAAAAUAAAAACACAAAAAUGCCUGCCUUUGUGGUGCUUCCAUUCCAGAAUGGGGAAGUAAUUGUAUUUCUGUCCCGUUUAUCAUGUAAAAAUUGUCAUAGGAUCUUGGAGUUGCUGAGCACCUAGAGGUGAUCUGUUCAGCAUUUUCCUCCCAGGGCAGCUCUCCACUCAGAACUCUCUUGGCUGGUGAGGGUUCAUUCUGUGUGCCCGGAUCUAGUGUCACCUCACCUUCCAGGGGACCCAUCCUUGUCACAUAGUCCUUGCUUAUCUGUCUUCCUGACAAUUUAACUCACAUCCUACCCUGUUUGGGCAGAGGGCCCCACAUUUUAGCAUAUCAUAAUCACUUUUGGGGCUUGAAACACUUUGAUGGGCUCCACUCUCGAGAUUCUGAUUCAAUAGGUCUGGAGUGAGGCCCAAGAUUUUCCCUUUCUGACAAAUUCCCAGGUAAUUCC
rnacentral:lncRNA from 1 species